rnacentral:tRNA from 1 species
GGGGAAUUAGCUCAAGAGGUAGAGCUCUUGCUUUGCAUGUGAGAGGCAGUAGGAUCAAUACCCACGUUCUCCA